GAAGGAUUGGCAAAAUGGAUCCAUACCAAAACAGGACAUGCAGGAACUCAUGCUAUGUACAGCUUUACAGAUUGCUUUGCUUCUCAGGAUUGAUGAUUACCGUGUUUGCCUGGACACCAGGAUUCCCCCUCCAAA